rnacentral:rRNA from 1 species
AGGACAAACGCUGGCGGGGUGCGUGAGACAUGCAAGUCGAACGAGGUGCCAUCGGGCUUGCUCGAUGGCUACCGAGUGGCGGACGGCUGAGUAACGCGUAGGUGACCUACCCGGAAGUGGGGAAUAACUGCCCGAAAGGGUGGCUAAUACCGCAUACGGUCGACGAUUCGGUUCGUCGUCCAAAGGAGUAAUCCGCUUCCGGCGGGGCCUGCGUCCGAUUAGCUAGUUGGUGGGGUAACGGCUCACCAAGGCGACGAUCGGUAGCUGGUCUGAGAGGAUGAUCAGCCAGACUGGGACUGAGAACGGCCCUGACUCCUACGGGAGGCAGCAGUCGGGAAUUUGCCAAUGGACGAAAGUCUGAGGCAGCAACUCCGCGUGAGGGACGAAGGCUCUCGGGUCGUAAACCUCUUUUCUCAGGAAGAUCCAAGACGGUACCUGAGGAAUAAGCCAGCUAACUACGUGCCAGCAGCCGC